rnacentral:tRNA from 1 species
UCCUGGUUAGUACAAUGGUCAGUAUAGGACACUCUCACGGUGCGCCCCUGUGGCGUUUCGGGCGCUGUUCAGAUCGGGGUUCGAUUCCCCGGCCGGGAA